rnacentral:rRNA from 1 species
UACGUAGGGUGCGAGCGUUGUCCGGAAUUAUUGGGCGUAAAGAGCUCGUAGGCGGUCUGUCGUGUCGGCUGUGAAAACUCGGGGCUCAACCCCGAGCCUGCAGUCGAUACGGGCAGACUAGAGUGCUGUAGGGGAGACUGGAAUUCCUGGUGUAGCGGUGAAAUGCGCAGAUAUCAGGAGGAACACCGGUGGCGAAGGCGGGUCUCUGGGCAGUAACUGACGCUGAGGAGCGAAAGCGUGGGGAGCGAACAGG